rnacentral:lncRNA from 1 species
GUGGAAGUUGGGCGCCAUGGCAGGGCCUCGUCCAUCCAGCCUGGGCCGCGCUGGCCGGAGCAGACCGCAAGCGGCCCGCUGGGAGCCCAGCCAAGAGCGGUGUUUUUCCAGGUCCGCGCAGGGCCACGGGAACCCGCGUGUUUGUUUGGUGGGAAUGGAUUCCUGGAAAACUAGACGGAAGGCUCUCCCAGCUGCUGGCUCCGCUCUGUUGAUGGAUACCAUCCAGUGUCACCACAGGGGCUUCCAGUGCCUGGAAUUUUGGUGGGAGGAGAGCAACUUCAGGAAUGAAGCACACGUGACCUUGGCAGACCCUCCAGCUUCAUUCUCACAUGUCCCUGAGAACAUGCCCAUAUACUCACAAACACACAGAUACCCUCAAGCCACCAUGCUCCAUGUCAGAUACUGAGAACCUUGGACCGGAAAUUGCUGGCGACAAAGAAAACCUAGAAGCGGUUGAGCUCCUACCCCUGGGGAGUGUGUGAUGAUUGAUGGAGACAAGGUCAGUGGGAAGAGGGUCGAAGAAAUUUGAUCACCUGGUAAAGGAGAAACACAUCUGUCAGACCCCGAGAAAUACUACUAGGGAACGGGGGUUGUAAUAGAAGAGGAGCAUCUGGGAACUGGACAUGACCCCUGAAGCUGUGCAGCCCGACUCCUUGUUGAAAUGCAGGCGAUCACCCCAGCUCCCAGCCCUUUCACGACCAACACCUUGCCUUGGCGAGGUCAAGCUUGAGGGUGGGAGGGGGACUAAUUCUAGCCCGCGCGUUGGUGGGGUUUUGUAUGACGGCAGCAGAGCACAACUCAUGCUAUCGAGCAGAAGGGGAAUAUUUUCACUCACGUAACCGAAAAGUCUAGAAGGCGUGUCUGCUUCGUUCAGGCUGGGUUCAGGAUUUCCACUGUGUUAUCAGGGCUUUGUCUCCCCCAGGUGCUCUUCUCAUGGGGAGCAUGGUGGACACGCAUAUCCAAAGGCUCCCAUCCUAACAGAUUAGCAACUCGGGGGAAAGAAUAAAGCUUCUUCCCCAAUGGAAAAGUCUGUGGAC